UUGAGCGAUUUACUUCGGUAAAGAGCGGCGGACGGGUGAGUAACGCGUGGGUAACCUACCCUGUACACACGGAUAACAUACCGAAAGGUAUGCUAAUACGGGAUAAUAUAUUUGAGAGGCAUCUCUUAAAUAUCAAAGGUGAGCCAGUACAGGAUGGACCCGCGUCUGAUUAGCUAGUUGGUAAGGUAACGGCUUACCAAGGCGACGAUCAGUAGCCGACCUGAGAGGGUGAUCGGCCACAUUGGAACUGAGACACGGUCCAAACUCCUACGGGAGGCAGCAGGGGGGAAUAUUGCACAAUGGGCGAAAGCCUGAUGCAGCAACGCCGCGUGAGUGAUGAAGGCCUUCGGGUCGUAAAACGCUGUCCUCAAGGAAGAUAAUGACGGUACUUGAGGAGGAAGCCCCGGCUAA
rnacentral:rRNA from 1 species